rnacentral:ncRNA from 1 species
UUCGUCUCACGUGACUGGCGAAAAAACCAUACCGCCGCAGAUUCAAGAGAUCGCGGCUGGCAUUGGCAAAAGGUGGGCAUCCACCGGGAAGCGUGAGAUUUCAUCCGCCGUACGCCUGGGCAGCCCGA